rnacentral:lncRNA from 1 species
GCCAUUAAACUGGCCCAAUAUUGAUGAUAUUGAACCAGUGAGUCUAUUAUGCGACAGAUCAAGGGUUGCAAGAGUUUUCAACCUCUCAAUUGAAUAUGGAAUUGGACCUUGUAAAGUGUUCGUCGAGAGAUUAAGGUAUUCAAGGUGAUAACAAUUUUCAAACAACCAAUCAGGAAUAGUACUAUUGAAAUAGUUUAUUGACAGAUCAAGAGUUACAAGAGAAUCACAAUUCAGUUCAGGUUGUGGGGAUUUAGGUAGUUUGUGAGGUCGACAACCCGAUAAACGCAAUGUUUCAAGAGAAUGGAGUCUUAUGCUAAUAUCAUGAAACCAAUCAUUUUUGCAACUACUAAGAUCAACACCACUUAAAUCCAGAACUUUCAAGGACGAAAGUCCAUGAAGCCAUUUUAGACUAUUGACAUAGAAACCAUUUCCACUCAAAUCAAGUGAUUCAAGUAGAGAAAGGUUUCCAAGAUUAUCAAAGAGACUCCCCUUAAAAUUUGCAUGAGAUAGGUCAAGAUGUUUUAAAUUUAGCAUAGCACCUAGAAAAGAAGGCAGUGUAGAUUGCAUGAAAUCUAUGCCACUAAGGUUCAAAUAACUUAAAUAUGGCAAUUUUAGCAAAGAUGAACUUAAAUGACCUUGAAGUUUAUCUAUGGAAUUAGAAGAAUGGAGAUUAAGGGAGAUAACAUGACCUGUGGUUGUGUUACAUCCUACUCCUUUCCAAUGACAACAAUCAUUUCCAAGUAUCCAUGAAGAAAGAAGUUUUGAAGGGUCUUUCAAACCAUGCUUGAACUGAAGGAGUGCCUUUGCUUCACUGGCUAUGAACUGAGUGUUGAACCCUCCACCACAUAGAACGUGUCCAUGCAUUAGAAAUAGAAUUGCAAUAAAUUGAAGAUAUAUUCUAUUCGCCAUUAUUUUAAUCAUGAAACUUCUUAGUUUUAUAUCUUUUUCUUAAAUUUCUUGAAUGAGCACACCACUAUAUUUGUAGGAGUUUCAGUGCCUUAAUAACUAUGUUCAACUACUUUAUUUGUUGAAUAAUGAUAUGAGAAAUGAUGUUUAGACAUUAAAAUUUUGUUGAGCGGUAGUUGGGAGCAUUAUUGAGUUGGAUCAAAACACUAUUCCGGUUUUGAAUAUAAACAAAAAUGGUCCAGAUACAUAUUUUAUUCAAUAAACCUAAAAAAAUAUUUUUGCUUAUAUUCAAAAUCAGAGGGCGUAUUUGGUUAAGAGCAACCACACAAGUGAUUUUUGAAAUCACAUAUUCAUUUAAAACUUUAAGUCAUUAGAUUUAUGACAUCACAUUUUCACUUAAAACUUUAAGUCAUUAUAUUUAUGGGUUAUUUCACUUAUAUUAUUGGACCUCUACGUUUCCGAUCAAUAUGAAAUUUAACUUAUUAAUAUGAGAUUCUCAUUCAAUCCGCAUGGUUCAUCAUAAAUUCUCACUAAAUAUGUCUUUGUAAAAUCCACUUGCUUUUGUAUGAUUUGAAUUUAAUAAAAUAUAAAUUAAAUUGCUCUUUUAAUCCCAUAAAUGAGUGAUUGUAUGCAUGAUGAAAUACAGUUAAUUUUUUUUUGACACAACAUGAAAUACAGUUAAUUAGUAAGUAUAAAAAGAGAGUAUCUCAGCAUUGUAUGGAAAUUGUUGGUAAGUUUCAUCUCUCCUUCCUUAGUCUCCUGCAUCUUUAUGUGUGGAAUUGUUGGUACGAUUGUCUUUAUUGUUAUUAGCUUUGUUCUGUCUCAAUCAUCUUUAUUAGCUGAUAGUCAAUGUCUCAGCAGCAUUAGUAGAAUGAAUGCUCUUCUUUGUACUCGUAUAUCCAACGAAAUAACCAAGAAACUCACCACAGUGCGUGUCCAAGGAAAAUUGUCAGAACCGGACCGAACAUCAAACCGGUGAACUUAUCGAUUCAAGGUUUAAUUGGUCGGACCGAUGUUCAACCGGGUCGGACCGUUUUUAAUUAAAUAUAUAUUUUAAUUAUUAUAUAUAUAAAACUAUAUAAGUAAUUACUCAAUAUUCCAUAGUUUUACACAUUAAAAAGAUAAAAUGUCAUAACGUCAAUAUAAAAUAAAAACUUUAGUACAUUACACAUAAAAUUUCUAAUUCAAAACAAAUUAGAAAUUACAUAAUAAACUAAGUUUUAAAAAAUAUUCACAGACUAUUAAAAUUAGAAUCAUACAAAAUAUAUAAUAUAAUAUUUAUUGACUAUUAAAAUUAGAUACAAAAUAUCAAAACUAUUAACAAAAAGACAGAAGCAAAAUAUCAAAAGGGAAAUUGAAACAUAAAAAAGUGAGGCUAAAAAAAAUAUUAUAACAAAAAUUCACACAAAUGUUUGUUAUUUCUAAAAAAAAAAAAGUAUGAGGUUUGUAUGCACGCUUGUCUAAUAUGGAGAUAUUGUAUUUGCACCACACUAUUAGUCCUACAUUGCUUGUUUCACAAAAAUUUAAGAGGUAGCUUCACUAUAAAUAAAUUGGAUAAGAUGUUGUUAAAAAUCAAAGUGUUUGCAAAUGUUUGUGGGGUCAAGUGUUCUCUCAUUUAUUAAUGAGAUGAAUGUUUCCCAAUGCAAGUAUAAUAGUAAAGAAAUUAUAAAAAAAGUUUGAUUUGACCGAUUUUGAGCCGAUUUAGCGGUUCAAUGCCCGGUUUUUUGUUCCCCCGUUUUACCAGUUCGUUUGCUGCCCGGUUUUUAAGCCAAACCGAACCGUAUACAUGGCCGGUUUACAGUCCGACCGGCCGGUCCGGUUCUAACAACCUUGGUUAAAAGUUGUUGGUUUUUGCUUUUCCAGGAAAAAUAAUCUAAAAUGUUAGUAUUAUUUUGGAGGAAAAAACAAUGAAUACAAAAUAAUAGUUAAUUUUAAUUAACGGUAGCAAUCUUUGCAGCAAUCUAUUCUAUAUUAUAUAAGCUUCCAUCAAUGUCUCUGCGAGAUUGCUCUCGAUCCCUUAAAGCAAGUUUUUAAUGGAACUUUUGAUACUCCGACAUUUUAAAACAAAACUGGAGAAUGAAUUAAAGUGACACACUAAUAACUACUUAACAAUAGUUCAUGAUUCAUCACUAAACUAGUAGUUUAUUUCUAUUUCAAUGAAAGUUUCUAAGUCGCGUUGUGGUCAUUUUCAUUUACAUUGUGAUGCUUCGUAUUGUAAAUAGAUGCGGCCACAAUUGCAAUUGCCGAGGCCUCUAAAAUUUCGAUAUACUGUGGUUGCAAUUGUUGGCUGCAUUCAAAAACCACAAUUGCCAUACUAAAUUUUCUUAAUAAGGAUUUGAAUCAAAUUUUAAUUUAUAUAUGCCUGGCCUGCUUUGUGUUUUUUGGGUUCUGGUGUUUAUAACAGUUUGUAAUUCUGCCCCAUUUCAAGGCAUUCCUUGUGCUUGGAAUGGUUUUAUAAAUUCUUUUUAGCUAUUUCAAAAAAAUAAAAUAUAUAUACAUGUUUAAUUUAAUGAUCAGGUCUUAAGAAAAUUAUAAGCAUGUUGAAAAUUUAAUGAUAGUUACUUAGUUAGGUAUCUGCCUUGGAGUUUCAGCUUUACAAUUGUGGCAUUUGAAGAGAUUCUUCCAGAAGAAGCUUAUAUAGGUUAUUCUAGCAUCAAUUUUAUUGUACCAGUGAAACAUCGUCCAUAUUAUGACGUAGUAAGCCAUUGGAUGAUCAAAUUCAGCAUUAGCAAAUCAGUUUUAAUGAACAAACACAGAAUAAAGGGAGUGAUAUGUUUAAGGCUGAAAUUCUUUAUUCAAAAUCAUCAACACUCUGGAUACAAUUUUUGUGUCAUCUACUAUUUCUUAACACAAUAACAAAGCAAACAUAGUUUGGUUACAUGGGAGGUUGUUGAGCGUGAAGCUUCCUCCGCAAUUUAUUAUAUGCAACAACUACUGUGACAUAGAUCCUGUCAUUCAUGUUGCUUAGAAAACGGAAGUAAGCAUGUCUCCAAGAUGCAAUGAGUAUUAAAGAUCCCCAAAAUACCCAAAAUCCUGUGGAAAAUCCUAUUCCCAUGCUUANNNNNNNNNNNNNNNNNNNNNNNNNNNNNNNNNNNNNNNNNNNNNNNNNNNNNNNNNNNNUUCAUGUUCUUCACUGUGACUGCAAUGUGCAUCUUUAAACCAACUGUUUCUGGGGCAUGCUUUCUCGAGUGGUUCACCACAAAGGUGUGAGUUACCUUCAAAACAGAAUCCAGAAAGUGUUUGCAACUCAGUGCCGAUAGGAAUUUUCCCUGACAAAGUGUUGUAUGAUAAGUCCAACACAGCUAGCCGAUCCAUAUUUGCCAUGCUAGUGGGAAUGGCACAUGAUAAAUGAUUCCACGACAAAUCCAAUGUGUCCAAGUUUUUCAGUUAACCAAUAUUGGAAGGAAUAGAACCCACCAAUUGGUUCCUCGACAAAUUUAAUGAAAUUAAUUCAACUAGCUUUGCCAUUUCUACUGGAAUGCCUUCGGUUAAAUAAUUUGAUGACAAGUCAAUCAAUUUAGCAAGUCCAACUACACCACCAAUAAAAUACCAAUCCAACCCUUCCCAUGUAAUUGGAAUUGGAUACUUUGUUUUAGACUGAUAGAAGGAAAGACUUUCCUUAAUUGUAAGAAACUCCAUAUACGAUUUUUCGUUUACACUUUCAUUAGUAGCCAUUGCAGGGAAGACACAUCUUGGUAUCUCUCCUUUCAAUUGAUUCUCAGAAAGGUCUAAUAUAUGUAGAGACUUGAGUUGGCAUAAUGAUAUUGGGAUAUUUCCAUCAAAGGAAUUCCUACCCAAUAUGAGUGUCUUUAGGAUUUGCAUGUCUGUACCAAUCCAAGAUGGUAUGGGCCCUGAAAAUCGAUUCGACUGUAAAUCCAAUAAAGUCAUCAUUGUGCAAUUUCUUAGUGUGUUGGGAAUUUUUCCAGAAAGAUCAUUGUUGUACAUUAACAACAUGUGAAGAUUUAUCAGGCUACCAAAGGAAUCAGGAAUUGACCCAAUAAAAUUGUUAUUAGCCAGAUUUAGAAUGAUCAUGUUUGUCCCAUUUGUCCAACAAUUUGGGAUGACUCCUGACAAAAUAUUAAAAGAUACAUCAAGAAUUUCCAAUGAGUUGUUGAAAUCCAAUAUCUCACACACGUGUGAAAAUGUUCCAUAAAAUGAAUUGUUGGACAAAUCCAACAUCCUCAAGUUAGGAGGAAAACGGGGCAAGGGACAUAAGAAAUUAUUGUUGCUCAAAUCAAGUGUUUUAAGUUUCAGUUUUUGAGAAAAACCUUUUCCACAUCUUUUCAGUUCAUUGGUGGAGAGGUUCAUAUACUCAACAUUAGGUGACAAAUCCCAAAACCAAUUUGGCACGGUAUCAAAGACACUUGCAUUUGAUAUAUCAAUAUGGGAGAAAUUCUUCUGAGUUUGAAUCCAUUUUGGAAAUUGAGGUCCCAAAUGACAAUUUGCCAAACNNNNNNNNNNNNNNNNNNNNNNNNNNNNNNNNNNNNNNNNNNNNNNNNNNNNNNNNNNNNNNNNNNNNNNNNNNNNNNNNNNNNNNNNNNNNNNNNNNNNNNNNNNNNNNNNNNNNNNNNNNNNNNNNNNNNNNNNNNNNNNNNNNNNNNNNNNNNNNNNNNNNNNNNNNNNNNNNNNNNNNNNNNNNNNNNNNNNNNNNNNNNNNNNNNNNNNNNNNNNNNNNNNNNNNNNNNNNNNNNNNNNNNNNNNNNNNNNNNNNNNNNNNNNNNNNNNNNNNNNNNNNNNUAUUAUAUAUAUAAAAAUAUAUAAGUAAUUACUCAAUAUUCCAUAGUUUUACACAUUAAAAAGAUAAAAUGUCAUAACGUCAAUAUAAAAUAAAAACUUUAGUACAUUACACAUAAAAUUUCUAAUUCAAAUCAAAUUAGAAAUUACAUAAUAAACUAAGUUCUAAAAAAUAUUCACUGACUAUUAAAAUUAGAAUCAUACAAAAUAUAUAAUAUAAUAUUUAUUGACUAUUAAAAUAAGAUACAAAAUAUCAAAACUAUUAACAAAAAGAAAGAACCAAAAUAUCAAAAGGAAAAUUGAAACAUAAAAAAGUGAGGCUAAAAAAAUUAUUAUAACAAAAGUUCACACAAAUGUUUGUUAUUUCUAUAAAAAAAAGUAUGAGGUUUGUAUGUACGCUUGUCUAAUAUGGAGAUAUUGUAUUUGCACUACAUUAUUAGUCUCACAUUGCUUGUUUCACAAAAAUUUGAGAGGUAGCUUCACUAUAAAUAAAUUGGGUAAGAUGUUGUUGAAAUGUACAGUAAAUUAAAGUGUUUGCAAAUGCUUAUGGGGUCAAGUGUUCUCUCAUUUAUUAAUGAGAUGAAUGCUUCCCAUGCAAGUAUAGCAGUAAAAAAAAAUUAUAAAAAGAAGUUCGAUUUUGACUGAUUUUGAGCCAGUUUAGCGGUUCAAUGCCUGGUUUUUUGCUCCCCGGUUUUGUCCAUUUUUUUUAAAAAAAAAUCUGGAGCCGCUAAACCGCACCGUUCGAUUCACUGGUUUGACCCGGUUCGUGGCGGUUCGACCAGUUUUUUACCGAUUNNNNNNNNNNNNNNNNNNNNNNNNNNNNNNNNNNNNNNNNCCGACCGGCCGGUCCGGUUUUGACAACCGUGGUUAAAAGUGGUUGGUUUUUGCUUUUCCAGGAAAAAUAAUCUAAAAUGUUAGUAUUAUUUUGGAGGAAAAAACAAUGAAGAAUACAAAAUGAUAGUUAAUUUUAAUUAACGGUAGCAAUCUUUGCAGCAAUCUAUUCUAUAUUAUAUAAGCUUCCAUCAAUAUCUCCGCGAGAUUGCUCUCGAUCCCUUAAAGCAAGUUUUUAAUGGAACUUUUGAUACUCCGACAUUUUAAAACAAAACUGGAGAAUGAAUUAAAGUGACACACUAAUAACUACUUAACAAUAGUUCAUGAUUCAUCACUAAACUAGUAGUUUAUUUCUAUUUCAAUAAAAGUUUCUAAGUCGCGUUGUGGUCAUUUUCAUUUACAUUGUGGUGCUUCGUAUUGUAAAUAGAUGCGGCCACAAUUGCAAUUGCUGAGGCCUCUAAAAUUUUGAUAUACUGUGGUUGCAAUUGUUGGCUGCACUCAAAAACCACAAUUGCCAUACUAAAUUUUCUUAAUAAGGAUUUGAAUCAAAUUUUAAUUUAUAUAUGCCUGGCCUGCUUUGUGUUUUUCGGGUUCUGGUGUUUAUAACAGUUUGUAAUUCUGCCCCGUUUCAAGGCAUUCCUUGCGCUUGGAGUAUAUAUAUACAUGUUUAAUUUAAUGAUCAGGUCUUAAGAAAAUUAUAUGCAUGUUGAAAAUUUAAUGAUAGUUACUUAGUUAGGUAUCUGCCUUGGAGUUUCAGCUUUACAAUUGUGGCAUUUGAAGAGAUUCUUCCAGAAGAAGCUUAUAUAGGUUAUGCUACCAUAUCAACGUUAUUGUACUAGUGAAACAUCGUCCAUACUAUGACGCAUUAAGCCAUUGGAUGAUCAAAUUCAACAUUAGCAAAUCAGUUUUAAUGAACAAACACAGAAUAAAGGGAGUGAUAUGUUUAAGGCUUAAAUUCUUUAUUCAAAAUCAUCAAUACUCUGGAUACAAUUUUUGUGUCAUCUACUAUUUCUUAACACAAUAACAAAUUAAAGCAAACAUAGUUUGGUUACAUGGGAGGUUGUUGAGCCUGAAGCUUCCUCCGCAAUUUAUUAUACGCUACAACUACAGUGACAUAGAUCCUAUCAUUCAUGUUGCUUAGAAAACGGAAGUAAGCAUGUCUCCAAGAUGCAACAAAUAUUAAAGAUCCCCAAAAUACCCAAAAUCCAGUGUAAAAUCCUAUUCCCAUGCUUAUGUAGAACGGAUUUAUUUCCAUGCCCAUUCCUUUGUCUUCAUGGUUGCUGUCAUCUUCAUGUUCUUCACUGUGACUACAAUGUGCAUCUUUGAACGAACUGUUUAUGGGGCAUGCAUUGUCGAGUGGUACACCACAAAGGUGUGGAUUACCUUCGAAACUGGAACCAUAAAGUGAUUGAAACAGAGUGCCGAUAGGAAUUUUCCCAGACAAAGUGUUGUAUGAUAAGUUCAACAUUACGAGGAAACUCAGAUUAACCAUGCUAGUUGGAAUGACACUUGAUAACUGAUUCCUCGACAAAUCCAACGAUUCCAAGUUUUUCAUUUCACCAAUAUUGGAAGGAAUGGAACCCACCAAUUGGUUCCUCGACAAGUUUAACGAAUGUAAUUCAACUAGCUUUGCCAUUUCAACAGGAAUGCCUUCUGUUAAAUAAUUUGAUGACAAGUCAAUUAAUCUAAUAAGUCGAACUAAACGUCCAGUUAAAUACCAAUCCACCCCUUUCCAUGUAAGUAGAAGUGAAUACUUUGUUUUAGACUGAUGGAUGAUGGAAUGGGAAAGACUUUCCUUUACGCUUUCUUGGGUUGCCAUUGCAGGGAAGACACAUCUUGGAACCGCUCCUGUCAAUUUAUUCUGUGAAAGGUCUAAUAUCCGUAAAGACUUCAGUAGGCAUAACGUUGUUGGGAUAUUUCCAUCAAAGGAAUNNNNNNNNNNNNNNNNNNNNNNNNNNNNNNNNNNNNNNNNNNNCGACCCAAUAAAAUUGUUUUUAGCCAGAUUAAGAAUGAUCAUGUUUGUCCCAUUUGUCCAACAAUUUGGGAUGACUCCUGACAAAUUAUUAAAAGAUACAUCAAGAGUUUGCAAUGAGUUAUGGACACCCAACACCUCACAUACUUGUGAAAUUUCUCCAUAAAAUAAAUUGUUGGACAGAUCCAAAGUCUUCGAGUUAGGAGGCAAAUGAGGCAAGGGACAUGAGAAAUUAUUGUGACUUAAAUCAAGUGUUUUAAGUUUCAAGUUUUGUGAAAAAUCAUGUCCACAUCUUUUCAGUUCAUUGUAUGAGAGGUUCAUAUAGUCAAUGUUAGUUGACAAAUCCCAAAACCAAUUUGGCACUGUAGCAGAGACACUUGCAUUUGAUAUAUCAAUAUGGGAGAAAUUCUUCUGAGUUUGAAUCCAUUUUGGAAAUUGAGGUCCCAAAUGACAAUUUGCCAAACCUAUAGUUUCAAGUUGGAAAGGAGGGAUCCAAUUUUUGCUCAUGUUGAAUGUUACUUGAUGGUUAAAAGACAGAUCCAACACUUUGAGGUUGCUAAAGUUAGCUAGAUGAACAUCACUGAUAUUACCCUCCAAAUUGUUUUUAGCUAAAUCCAACACAACCAAUUUUGAUAGCUGAUGAAGACUUGUUUCCAAUGACCCAUUUAAUUGAUUAUUAGAAAGACGCAACACUUUCAAACUAUUUUGGCCAUUAACCUGGCCCAAUAUUGAUGAUAUUGAACCAGUGAGUCUAUUAUGCGACAGAUCAAGGGUUGCAAGAGUUUUCAACCUCUCAAUUGAAUAUGGAAUUGGACCUUGUAAAUUGUUCGUCGAGAGAUUAAGGUAUUCAAGGUGAUAACAAUUUUCAAACAACCAAUCAGGAAUAGUACUAUUGAAAUAGUUUUUUGACAGAUCAAGAGUUACAAGAGAAUCACAAUUCAGUUCAGGUUGAGGGGAUUUAGGUAGUUUGUGAGGUCGACAACCCGAUAAACGCAAUG